UACGUAGGGACCAAGCGUUGUUCGGAUUUACUGGGCGUAAAGGGCGCGUAGGCGGCAAUUCAAGUCACUUGUGAAAUCUCUGAGCUUAACUCAGAACGGUCAAGUGAUACUGCUUUGCUAGAGUGCAGAAGGGGCAACCGGAAUUCUUGGUGUAGCGGUGAAAUGCGUAGAUAUCAAGAGGAACACCGGAGGUGAAGACGGGUUGCUGGGCUGACACUGACGCUGAGACACGAAAGCGUGGGUAGCAAACAGG
rnacentral:rRNA from 1 species